UCAUGUCAAUUAACAAGCAUUUUAUUUAUUACAGUCACCAAUAUAUCCAAAUAUGAACACGGGUCUGACAGUCAUUCACCACAUUCAACUCGGCUAGUACCAGUAAGGUGUCAUCAAUUGAAAUGGUCACAGUAUCCAAGACACUGAAGUCACAGAACUCAAAUUCCAUAGAUGUACACAGGGAAUGGUCAACCUGGCCACCAGUGGGAAUGGGGGCACCAACCCCUGCACAGAGACCUCUGAUGGAGCUGCCCGGACCGUGAUUAGAAGAGUGAGCAGCACUGUGCGCCCGACCAGCAAAGUUUCUCGUGAAAGUGACAUUACGAGGUAGGGAUCGUCGCAGAGUUCUGUUGAAGCUUUCGACCUUUUGUGAGUUGCUGUUUUUGAUCGUCCUGUCCAGUACAGCUGGACACAACCUCUUUGAGAUGCAGGCAUGGAGCCUUGCCUCGUUCUCGACUGAAGACGCAGACCGUCCUUAUAGAGGGAAUCUGCAGCUCGACCAGCGGAGCUGUCCGGGUCAGUGGUUACCUCCCUUACCUCGAGGCCAUCUUUGCAGAGGAGUUCCGCCAUCCCCUCCCGAGCCCAUGUGAACUCAUCCCCUAUCGUAUGCUGCAUGGGUAGGUUUGCCCCACACACCCCAGGACUACAUUGGUGGUUAGCAGUGCCCUCCUCCAGGACUUACGAGAAGGAGGGGGAGUGUUAGUAGAAAGAAGAAUUUUCCUCAUCCCAUCAUUGCCUAUGGGGGUUUGACUUAGGCCCACCUGAAGCCCAUAAUUAACAGUGGCAGCUUUUCUACCCCGGGUUUUGGACUCUACCUCCUCAUACAGAUUAUACCGCCUCGAUGCAUAUCUACACGUGGUGCAGCAGAGGCCCAAUCUGCUUCCAAGGCCUCGCCUCUCUUCGGUAGCCAGGUCCCAUGAUAGUGGUCCAUCACAGCCUGGUUUCUCAUGCCGGUGGACUCGCAUGACCUCAUUCCACAUCUCGGCUGUUUUUCUUAGAUGUAGGAGUCUAUGGGAAUUUUGGUUAGCCAGCCUAGGCCCUCCUGAACACUUUCAUUGUUUGGCUUCCUUGGCCUGAGGAGGUGGUGGCACUUGGGUCGCAGCAUCAUUUCCUGCCUUUCAGCAGCUGAGGGAGUCACCGUCACCAUCUGAUGCAUGUCCUCAGACAGUCUCCUGUACGGUGCAGUCACCAAUAUAUCCAAAUAUGAACACGGGUCUGACAGUCAUUCACCACAUUCAACUCGGCUAGUACCAGUAAGGUGUCAUCAAUUGAAAUGGUCACAGUAUCCAAGACACUGAAGUCACAGAACUCAAAUUCCAUAGAUGUACACAGGGAAUGGUCAACCUGGCCACCAGUGGGAAUGGGGGCACCAACCCCUGCACAGAGACCUCUGAUGGAGCUGCCCGGACCGUGAUUAGAAGAGUGAGCAGCACUGUGCGCCCGACCAGCAAAGUUUCUCGUGAAAGUGACAUUACGAGGUAGGGAUCGUCGCAGAGUUCUGUUGAAGCUUUCGACCUUUUGUGAGUUGCUGUUUUUGAUCGUCCUGUCCAGUACAGCUGGACACAACCUCUUUGAGAUGCAGGCAUGGAGCCUUGCCUCGUUCUCGACUGAAGACGCAGACCGUCCUUAUAGAGGGAAUCUGCAGCUCGACCAGCGGAGCUGUCCGGGUCAGUGGUUACCUCCCUUACCUCGAGGCCAUCUUUGCAGAGGAGUUCCGCCAUCCCCUCCCGAGCCCAUGUGAACUCAUCCCCUAUUGUAUGCUGCAUGGGUAGGUUUGCCCCACACACCCCAGGACUACAUUGGUGGUUAGCAGUGCCCUCCUCCAGGACUUACGAGAAGGAGGGGGAGUGUUAGUAGAAAGAAGAAUUUUCCUCAUCCCAUCAUUGCCUAUGGGGGUUUGACUUAGGCCCACCUGAAGCCCAUAAUUAACAGUGGCAGCUUUUCUACCCCGGGUUUUGGACUCUACCUCCUCAUACAGAUUAUACCGCCUCGAUGCAUAUCCACACGUGGUGCAGCAGAGGCCCAAUCUGCUUCCAAGGCCUCGCCUCUCUUCGGUAGCCAGGUCCCAUGAUAGUGGUCCAUCACAGCCUGGUUUCUCAUGCCGGUGGACUCGCAUGACCUCAUUCCACAUCUCGGCUGUUUUUCUUAGAUGUAGGAGUCUAUGGGAAUUUUGGUUAGCCAGCCUAGGCCCUCCUGAACACUUUCAUUGUUUGGCUUCCUUGGCCUGAGGAGGUGGUGGCACUUGGGUCGCAGCAUCAUUUCCUGCCUUUCAGCAGCUGAGGGAGUCACCGUCACCAUCUGAUGCAUGUCCUCAGACAGUCUCCUGUACGGUGCAGUCACCAAUAUAUCCAAAUAUGAACACGGGUCUGACAGUCAUUCACCACAUUCAACUCGGCUAGUACCAGUAAGGUGUCAUCAAUUGAAAUGGUCACAGUAUCCAAGACACUGAAGUCACAGAACUCAAAUUCCAUAGAUGUACACAGGGAAUGGUCAACCUGGCCACCAGUGGGAAUGGGGGCACCAACCCCUGCACAGAGACCUCUGAUGGAGCUGCCCGGACCGUGAUUAGAAGAGUGAGCAGCACUGUGCGCCCGACCAGCAAAGUUUCUCGUGAAAGUGACAUUACGAGGUAGGGAUCGUCGCAGAGUUCUGUUGAAGCUUUCGACCUUUUGUGAGUUGCUGUUUUUGAUCGUCCUGUCCAGUACAGCUGGACACAACCUCUUUGAGAUGCAGGCAUGGAGCCUUGCCUCGUUCUCGACUGAAGACGCAGACCGUCCUUAUAGAGGGAAUCUGCAGCUCGACCAGCGGAGCUGUCCGGGUCAGUGGUUACCUCCCUUACCUCGAGGCCAUCUUUGCAGAGGAGUUCCGCCAUCCCCUCCCGAGCCCAUGUGAACUCAUCCCCUAUCGUAUGCUGCAUGGGUAGGUUUGCCCCACACACCCCAGGACUACAUUGGUGGUUAGCAGUGCCCUCCUCCAGGACUUACGAGAAGGAGGGGGAGUGUUAGUAGAAAGAAGAAUUUUCCUCAUCCCAUCAUUGCCUAUGGGGGUUUGACUUAGGCCCACCUGAAGCCCAUAAUUAACAGUGGCAGCUUUUCUACCCCGGGUUUUGGACUCUACCUCCUCAUACAGAUUAUACCGCCUCGAUGCAUAUCUACACGUGGUGCAGCAGAGGCCCAAUCUGCUUCCAAGGCCUCGCCUCUCUUCGGUAGCCAGGUCCCAUGAUAGUGGUCCAUCACAGCCUGGUUUCUCAUGCCGGUGGACUCGCAUGACCUCAUUCCACAUCUCGGCUGUUUUUCUUAGAUGUAGGAGUCUAUGGGAAUUUUGGUUAGCCAGCCUAGGCCCUCCUGAACACUUUCAUUGUUUGGCUUCCUUGGCCUGAGGAGGUGGUGGCACUUGGGUCGCAGCAUCAUUUCCUGCCUUUCAGCAGCUGAGGGAGUCACCGUCACCAUCUGAUGCAUGUCCUCAGACAGUCUCCUGUACGGUGCAGUCACCAAUAUAUCCAAAUAUGAACACGGGUCUGACAGUCAUUCACCACAUUCAACUCGGCUAGUACCAGUAAGGUGUCAUCAAUUGAAAUGGUCACAGUAUCCAAGACACUGAAGUCACAGAACUCAAAUUCCAUAGAUGUACACAGGGAAUGGUCAACCUGGCCACCAGUGGGAAUGGGGGCACCAACCCCUGCACAGAGACCUCUGAUGGAGCUGCCCGGACCGUGAUUAGAAGAGUGAGCAGCACUGUGCGCCCGACCAGCAAAGUUUCUCGUGAAAGUGACAUUACGAGGUAGGGAUCGUCGCAGAGUUCUGUUGAAGCUUUCGACCUUUUGUGAGUUGCUGUUUUUGAUCGUCCUGUCCAGUACAGCUGGACACAACCUCUUUGAGAUGCAGGCAUGGAGCCUUGCCUCGUUCUCGACUGAAGACGCAGACCGUCCUUAUAGAGGGAAUCUGCAGCUCGACCAGCGGAGCUGUCCGGGUCAGUGGUUACCUCCCUUACCUCGAGGCCAUCUUUGCAGAGGAGUUCCGCCAUCCCCUCCCGAGCCCAUGUGAACUCAUCCCCUAUCGUAUGCUGCAUGGGUAGGUUUGCCCCACACACCCCAGGACUACAUUGGUGGUUAGCAGUGCCCUCCUCCAGGACUUACGAGAAGGAGGGGGAGUGUUAGUAGAAAGAAGAAUUUUCCUCAUCCCAUCAUUGCCUAUGGGGGUUUGACUUAGGCCCACCUGAAGCCCAUAAUUAACAGUGGCAGCUUUUCUACCCCGGGUUUUGGACUCUACCUCCUCAUACAGAUUAUACCGCCUCGAUGCAUAUCCACACGUGGUGCAGCAGAGGCCCAAUCUGCUUCCAAGGCCUCGCCUCUCUUCGGUAGCCAGGUCCCAUGAUAGUGGUCCAUCACAGCCUGGUUUCUCAUGCCGGUGGACUCGCAUGACCUCAUUCCACAUCUCGGCUGUUUUUCUUAGAUGUAGGAGUCUAUGGGAAUUUUGGUUAGCCAGCCUAGGCCCUCCUGAACACUUUCAUUGUUUGGCUUCCUUGGCCUGAGGAGGUGGUGGCACUUGGGUCGCAGCAUCAUUUCCUGCCUUUCAGCAGCUGAGGGAGUCACCGUCACCAUCUGAUGCAUGUCCUCAGACAGUCUCCUGUACGGUGCAGUCACCAAUAUAUCCAAAUAUGAACACGGGUCUGACAGUCAUUCACCACAUUCAACUCGGCUAGUACCAGUAAGGUGUCAUCAAUUGAAAUGGUCACAGUAUCCAAGACACUGAAGUCACAGAACUCAAAUUCCAUAGAUGUACACAGGGAAUGGUCAACCUGGCCACCAGUGGGAAUGGGGGCACCAACCCCUGCACAGAGACCUCUGAUGGAGCUGCCCGGACCGUGAUUAGAAGAGUGAGCAGCACUGUGCGCCCGACCAGCAAAGUUUCUCGUGAAAGUGACAUUACGAGGUAGGGAUCGUCGCAGAGUUCUGUUGAAGCUUUCGACCUUUUGUGAGUUGCUGUUUUUGAUCGUCCUGUCCAGUACAGCUGGACACAACCUCUUUGAGAUGCAGGCAUGGAGCCUUGCCUCGUUCUCGACUGAAGACGCAGACCGUCCUUAUAGAGGGAAUCUGCAGCUCGACCAGCGGAGCUGUCCGGGUCAGUGGUUACCUCCCUUACCUCGAGGCCAUCUUUGCAGAGGAGUUCCGCCAUCCCCUCCCGAGCCCAUGUGAACUCAUCCCCUAUCGUAUGCUGCAUGGGUAGGUUUGCCCCACACACCCCAGGACUACAUUGGUGGUUAGCAGUGCCCUCCUCCAGGACUUACGAGAAGGAGGGGGAGUGUUAGUAGAAAGAAGAAUUUUCCUCAUCCCAUCAUUGCCUAUGGGGGUUUGACUUAGGCCCACCUGAAGCCCAUAAUUAACAGUGGCAGCUUUUCUACCCCGGGUUUUGGACUCUACCUCCUCAUACAGAUUAUACCGCCUCGAUGCAUAUCUACACGUGGUGCAGCAGAGGCCCAAUCUGCUUCCAAGGCCUCGCCUCUCUUCGGUAGCCAGGUCCCAUGAUAGUGGUCCAUCACAGCCUGGUUUCUCAUGCCGGUGGACUCGCAUGACCUCAUUCCACAUCUCGGCUGUUUUUCUUAGAUGUAGGAGUCUAUGGGAAUUUUGGUUAGCCAGCCUAGGCCCUCCUGAACACUUUCAUUGUUUGGCUUCCUUGGCCUGAGGAGGUGGUGGCACUUGGGUCGCAGCAUCAUUUCCUGCCUUUCAGCAGCUGAGGGAGUCACCGUCACCAUCUGAUGCAUGUCCUCAGACAGUCUCCUGUACGGUGCAGUCACCAAUAUAUCCAAAUAUGAACACGGGUCUGACAGUCAUUCACCACAUUCAACUCGGCUAGUACCAGUAAGGUGUCAUCAAUUGAAAUGGUCACAGUAUCCAAGACACUGAAGUCACAGAACUCAAAUUCCAUAGAUGUACACAGGGAAUGGUCAACCUGGCCACCAGUGGGAAUGGGGGCACCAACCCCUGCACAGAGACCUCUGAUGGAGCUGCCCGGACCGUGAUUAGAAGAGUGAGCAGCACUGUGCGCCCGACCAGCAAAGUUUCUCGUGAAAGUGACAUUACGAGGUAGGGAUCGUCGCAGAGUUCUGUUGAAGCUUUCGACCUUUUGUGAGUUGCUGUUUUUGAUCGUCCUGUCCAGUACAGCUGGACACAACCUCUUUGAGAUGCAGGCAUGGAGCCUUGCCUCGUUCUCGACUGAAGACGCAGACCGUCCUUAUAGAGGGAAUCUGCAGCUCGACCAGCGGAGCUGUCCGGGUCAGUGGUUACCUCCCUUACCUCGAGGCCAUCUUUGCAGAGGAGUUCCGCCAUCCCCUCCCGAGCCCAUGUGAACUCAUCCCCUAUCGUAUGCUGCAUGGGUAGGUUUGCCCCACACACCCCAGGACUACAUUGGUGGUUAGCAGUGCCCUCCUCCAGGACUUACGAGAAGGAGGGGGAGUGUUAGUAGAAAGAAGAAUUUUCCUCAUCCCAUCAUUGCCUAUGGGGGUUUGACUUAGGCCCACCUGAAGCCCAUAAUUAACAGUGGCAGCUUUUCUACCCCGGGUUUUGGACUCUACCUCCUCAUACAGAUUAUACCGCCUCGAUGCAUAUCCACACGUGGUGCAGCAGAGGCCCAAUCUGCUUCCAAGGCCUCGCCUCUCUUCGGUAGCCAGGUCCCAUGAUAGUGGUCCAUCACAGCCUGGUUUCUCAUGCCGGUGGACUCGCAUGACCUCAUUCCACAUCUCGGCUGUUUUUCUUAGAUGUAGGAGUCUAUGGGAAUUUUGGUUAGCCAGCCUAGGCCCUCCUGAACACUUUCAUUGUUUGGCUUCCUUGGCCUGAGGAGGUGGUGGCACUUGGGUCGCAGCAUCAUUUCCUGCCUUUCAGCAGCUGAGGGAGUCACCGUCACCAUCUGAUGCAUGUCCUCAGACAGUCUCCUGUACGGUGCAGUCACCAAUAUAUCCAAAUAUGAACACGGGUCUGACAGUCAUUCACCACAUUCAACUCGGCUAGUACCAGUAAGGUGUCAUCAAUUGAAAUGGUCACAGUAUCCAAGACACUGAAGUCACAGAACUCAAAUUCCAUAGAUGUACACAGGUAAGUGUUAAGUCUUUGAAAAUCACUAAAUUGACUAAUUCUGAGGUAGGUAAAAAUGUAAGUAUAGGAAAAAGAGUACCAAAGACCCAGAUUUUUACAUCAUUUCCUGGUUGAACAAGAUUUAGCAGAGUAAAAAAUGGCUAGGCUUUACCUGAUUGGCUGAAUUCAGGGAAUGGUCAACCUGGCCACCAGUGGGAAUGGGGGCACCAACCCCUGCACAGAGACCUCUGAUGGAGCUGCCCGGACCGUGAUUAGAAGAGUGAGCAGCACUGUGCGCCCGACCAGCAAAGUUUCUCGUGAAAGUGACAUUACGAGGUAGGGAUCGUCGCAGAGUUCUGUUGAAGCUUUCGACCUUUUGUGAGUUGCUGUUUUUGAUCGUCCUGUCCAGUACAGCUGGACACAACCUCUUUGAGAUGCAGGCAUGGAGCCUUGCCUCGUUCUCGACUGAAGACGCAGACCGUCCUUAUAGAGGGAAUCUGCAGCUCGACCAGCGGAGCUGUCCGGGUCAGUGGUUACCUCCCUUACCUCGAGGCCAUCUUUGCAGAGGAGUUCCGCCAUCCCCUCCCGAGCCCAUGUGAACUCAUCCCCUAUCGUAUGCUGCAUGGGUAGGUUUGCCCCACACACCCCAGGACUACAUUGGUGGUUAGCAGUGCCCUCCUCCAGGACUUACGAGAAGGAGGGGGAGUGUUAGUAGAAAGAAGAAUUUUCCUCAUCCCAUCAUUGCCUAUGGGGGUUUGACUUAGGCCCACCUGAAGCCCAUAAUUAACAGUGGCAGCUUUUCUACCCCGGGUUUUGGACUCUACCUCCUCAUACAGAUUAUACCGCCUCGAUGCAUAUCCACACGUGGUGCAGCAGAGGCCCAAUCUGCUUCCAAGGCCUCGCCUCUCUUCGGUAGCCAGGUCCCAUGAUAGUGGUCCAUCACAGCCUGGUUUCUCAUGCCGGUGGACUCGCAUGACCUCAUUCCACAUCUCGGCUGUUUUUCUUAGAUGUAGGAGUCUAUGGGAAUUUUGGUUAGCCAGCCUAGGCCCUCCUGAACACUUUCAUUGUUUGGCUUCCUUGGCCUGAGGAGGUGGUGGCACUUGGGUCGCAGCAUCAUUUCCUGCCUUUCAGCAGCUGAGGGAGUCACCGUCACCAUCUGAUGCAUGUCCUCAGACAGUCUCCUGUACGGUGCAGUCACCAAUAUAUCCAAAUAUGAACACGGGUCUGACAGUCAUUCACCACAUUCAACUCGGCUAGUACCAGUAAGGUGUCAUCAAUUGAAAUGGUCACAGUAUCCAAGACACUGAAGUCACAGAACUCAAAUUCCAUAGAUGUACACAGGGAAUGGUCAACCUGGCCACCAGUGGGAAUGGGGGCACCAACCCCUGCACAGAGACCUCUGAUGGAGCUGCCCGGACCGUGAUUAGAAGAGUGAGCAGCACUGUGCGCCCGACCAGCAAAGUUUCUCGUGAAAGUGACAUUACGAGGUAGGGAUCGUCGCAGAGUUCUGUUGAAGCUUUCGACCUUUUGUGAGUUGCUGUUUUUGAUCGUCCUGUCCAGUACAGCUGGACACAACCUCUUUGAGAUGCAGGCAUGGAGCCUUGCCUCGUUCUCGACUGAAGACGCAGACCGUCCUUAUAGAGGGAAUCUGCAGCUCGACCAGCGGAGCUGUCCGGGUCAGUGGUUACCUCCCUUACCUCGAGGCCAUCUUUGCAGAGGAGUUCCGCCAUCCCCUCCCGAGCCCAUGUGAACUCAUCCCCUAUCGUAUGCUGCAUGGGUAGGUUUGCCCCACACACCCCAGGACUACAUUGGUGGUUAGCAGUGCCCUCCUCCAGGACUUACGAGAAGGAGGGGGAGUGUUAGUAGAAAGAAGAAUUUUCCUCAUCCCAUCAUUGCCUAUGGGGGUUUGACUUAGGCCCACCUGAAGCCCAUAAUUAACAGUGGCAGCUUUUCUACCCCGGGUUUUGGACUCUACCUCCUCAUACAGAUUAUACCGCCUCGAUGCAUAUCCACACGUGGUGCAGCAGAGGCCCAAUCUGCUUCCAAGGCCUCGCCUCUCUUCGGUAGCCAGGUCCCAUGAUAGUGGUCCAUCACAGCCUGGUUUCUCAUGCCGGUGGACUCGCAUGACCUCAUUCCACAUCUCGGCUGUUUUUCUUAGAUGUAGGAGUCUAUGGGAAUUUUGGUUAGCCAGCCUAGGCCCUCCUGAACACUUUCAUUGUUUGGCUUCCUUGGCCUGAGGAGGUGGUGGCACUUGGGUCGCAGCAUCAUUUCCUGCCUUUCAGCAGCUGAGGGAGUCACCGUCACCAUCUGAUGCAUGUCCUCAGACAGUCUCCUGUACGGUGCAGUCACCAAUAUAUCCAAAUAUGAACACGGGUCUGACAGUCAUUCACCACAUUCAACUCGGCUAGUACCAGUAAGGUGUCAUCAAUUGAAAUGGUCACAGUAUCCAAGACACUGAAGUCACAGAACUCAAAUUCCAUAGAUGUACACAGGGAAUGGUCAACCUGGCCACCAGUGGGAAUGGGGGCACCAACCCCUGCACAGAGACCUCUGAUGGAGCUGCCCGGACCGUGAUUAGAAGAGUGAGCAGCACUGUGCGCCCGACCAGCAAAGUUUCUCGUGAAAGUGACAUUACGAGGUAGGGAUCGUCGCAGAGUUCUGUUGAAGCUUUCGACCUUUUGUGAGUUGCUGUUUUUGAUCGUCCUGUCCAGUACAGCUGGACACAACCUCUUUGAGAUGCAGGCAUGGAGCCUUGCCUCGUUCUCGACUGAAGACGCAGACCGUCCUUAUAGAGGGAAUCUGCAGCUCGACCAGCGGAGCUGUCCGGGUCAGUGGUUACCUCCCUUACCUCGAGGCCAUCUUUGCAGAGGAGUUCCGCCAUCCCCUCCCGAGCCCAUGUGAACUCAUCCCCUAUCGUAUGCUGCAUGGGUAGGUUUGCCCCACACACCCCAGGACUACAUUGGUGGUUAGCAGUGCCCUCCUCCAGGACUUACGAGAAGGAGGGGGAGUGUUAGUAGAAAGAAGAAUUUUCCUCAUCCCAUCAUUGCCUAUGGGGGUUUGACUUAGGCCCACCUGAAGCCCAUAAUUAACAGUGGCAGCUUUUCUACCCCGGGUUUUGGACUCUACCUCCUCAUACAGAUUAUACCGCCUCGAUGCAUAUCUACACGUGGUGCAGCAGAGGCCCAAUCUGCUUCCAAGGCCUCGCCUCUCUUCGGUAGCCAGGUCCCAUGAUAGUGGUCCAUCACAGCCUGGUUUCUCAUGCCGGUGGACUCGCAUGACCUCAUUCCACAUCUCGGCUGUUUUUCUUAGAUGUAGGAGUCUAUGGGAAUUUUGGUUAGCCAGCCUAGGCCCUCCUGAACACUUUCAUUGUUUGGCUUCCUUGGCCUGAGGAGGUGGUGGCACUUGGGUCGCAGCAUCAUUUCCUGCCUUUCAGCAGCUGAGGGAGUCACCGUCACCAUCUGAUGCAUGUCCUCAGACAGUCUCCUGUACGGUGCAGUCACCAAUAUAUCCAAAUAUGAACACGGGUCUGACAGUCAUUCACCACAUUCAACUCG